GACGAACGCUGGCGGCGUGCUUAACACAUGCAAGUCGAACGAUGAUCUCCCGCUUGCGGGGGUGAUUAGUGGCGAACGGGUGAGUAAUACGUGAGUAACCUGCCCUUGACUCUGGGAUAAGCCUGGGAAACCGGGUCUAAUACUGGAUACUACUUCCUGCCGCAUGGUGGGGGGUGGAAAGGGUUUUACUGGUUUUGGAUGGGCUCACGGCCUAUCAGCUUGUUGGUGGAGUAAUGGCUCACCAAGGCGACGACGGGUAGCCGGCCUGAGAGGGUGACCGGCCACACUGGGACUGAGACACGGCCCAGACUCCUACGGGAGGCAGCAGGGGGGAAUAUUGCACAAUGGGCGGAAGCCUGAUGCAGCGACGCCGCGGGAGGGAUGACGGCCUUCGGGUUGGAAACCUCUUUCAGCAGGGAAGAAGCCACAAGUGACGGUACCUGCAGAAGAAGCGCCGGCUAACUACGUG
rnacentral:rRNA from 1 species